AUCGGGAUAACUCCGGGAAACCGGUGCUAAUACCGAAUAGUUUGUUUCGCCUCCUGGCGAGACACGGAAAGACGGUUUCGGCUGUCACUGCAGGAUGGGCCCGCGGCGCAUUAGCUAGUUGGUGGGGUAAUGGCCCACCAAGGCGACGAUGCGUAGCCGACCUGAGAGGGUGAUCGGCCACACUGGGACUGAGACACGGCCCAGACUCCUACGGGAGGCAGCAGUAGGGAAUCUUCCGCAAUGGACGAAAGUCUGACGGAGCAAUGCCGCGUGAGUGACGAAGGUUUUCGGAUCGUAAAACUCUGUUGUGAGGGAAGAACAAGUACCAAGUAACUACUGGUACCUUGACGGUACCUCACCAGAAAGCCACGGCUAACUACGUGCCAGCAGCCGCGGUAAUACGUAGGUGGCAAGCGUUGUCCGGAAUUAUUGGGCGUAAAGCGCGCGCAGGCGGUCCCUUAAGUCUGAUGUGAAAGCCCACGGCUCAACCGUGGAGGGUCAUUGGAAACUGGGGGACUUGAGUGCAGAAGAGGAAAGUGGAAUUCCAUGUGUAGCGGUGAAAUGCGUAGAGAUGUGGAGGAACACCAGUGGCGAAGGCGACUUUCU
rnacentral:rRNA from 1 species